AUUGAACGCUGGCGGCAUGCUUUACACAUGCAAGUCGAACGGCAGCGCGGGCUUCGGCCUGGCGGCGAGUGGCGAACGGGUGAGUAAUACAUCUGAACGUGCCCAGUAGUGGGGGAUAGCUCGGCGAAAGCCGGAUUAAUACCGCAUACGACCUGAGGGUGAAAGCGGGGGAUCUUCGGACCUCGCGCUAUUGGAGCGGCCGAUGGCAGGUUAGCUAGUUGGUGGGGUAAAGGCCUACCAAGGGGACCAUCUGUAGCUGGUCUGAGAGGACGACCAGCCACCCGGGGACUGAGACACGGCCCAGACUCCUACGGGAGGCAGCAGUGGGGAAUUUUGGACAAUGGGCGAAAGCCUGAUCCAGCAAUGCCGCGUGUGUGAUGAAGGCCUUCGGGUUGUAAAGAACUUUUGGCGGGAACGAAAAGGACUGUGCCAAUACCACGGUUCGAUGACGGUACCCGCAGAAUAAGCACCGGCUAACUACGUG
rnacentral:rRNA from 1 species